GUGAAGAACAGUCAAUGCUCUGAAUUGCUUGCAGUCUGACUAGAGGCACAGAGACUUAGCUAAAUUACUACCAACUUACAGAGAAACCUUUGGGUAAGUCUCUGCGCCUCUACUCAGACUGCAAGCAAUUUGGGGUAUUGACUGCUUCAAUUUGUGUUUGGACAGUACUAGUGUGGUAGGCGCUACCAUGAAAUGCUUGACUCUGCAUUAAGAUGCCACUACGGUUGCAAAGCCAACUACUCAAAAGGUAUGUUCUUGAAUCCUGACUCUCCAAGCCAGGAGAGACUGGGACGGGCCAUCCUGAAGAGACGGAGAACUAUGAACAAUAACAA
rnacentral:lncRNA from 1 species